rnacentral:rRNA from 1 species
UGGCCAAGUUGUGUAGGGCACAUGGUGGAUGCCUUGGUACCAGGAGCCGAUGAAGGACGUGGGAGACUGCGAUAGUCCUCGGGGAGUUGUCAACCGAGCUGUGAUCCGAGGGUGUCCGAAUGGGGUAACCCAGCCCGAGUGAUGUCGGGUUACCAGCGCCUGAAUAUAUAGGGUGUUGGGGGGAACGCGGGGAAGUGAAACAUCUUAGUACCCGCAGGAAGAGAAAACACUGGUGAUUCCGUGAGUAGUGGCGAGCGAAAGCGGAGGAGGCUAAACCGUGCGCGUGGGAUACCUGGUAGGGGUUGCGUGUGCGGGGUUGUGGGACGCUGCUGGAAGACGCUACUGGGUCUUCAGCGUUGCUGGUCGUGUUAGUCGAACAGGUUGGGAUGCCUGGCCGGAGUGGGUGAGAGUCCCGUAGGCGAAAAUGCGAUUGGUGAGUGUGGUGGUGUUCCCGAGUAGCAGCGCUUUCGUGGAGGGUGCUGUGAAUCUGGCGGGACCACUCGCUAAGCCUAAAUACUUCCUGGUGACCGAUAGUGGAUAGUACCGUGAGGGAAUGGUGAAAAGUACCCCGGGAGGGGAGUGAAAGAGUUCCUGAAACCGUGUGCCUGCAAACCGUCAGAGCCUUUUGGGGUGAUGGCGUGCCUUUUGAAGAAUGAGCCUGCGAGUUACUGCUGCGUGGCGAGGUUAACCCGUGUGUGGGGUAGCCGGAGCGAAAGCGAGUCUGAAUAGGGCGUGUGAGUCGCGUGGUGUAGACCCGAAGCGGAGUGAUCUACCCAUGGCCAGGGUGAAGCGCGGGUAAGACCGUGUGGAGGCCCGAACCCACCAGGGUUGAAAACCUGGGGGAUGAGUUGUGGGUAGGGGUGAAAGGCCAAUCAAACUCCGUGAUAGCUGGUUCUCCCCGAAAUGCAUUUAGGUGCAGCGUUGCGUGUUGCUUGGGUGGGGUAGAGCACUGGUUGGUUGAUGGGCCUUCGCGGGUUACUGAGAUCAGCCAAACUCCGAAUACGCCUGAGUGUGAGCGUGGCAGUGAGACGGCGGGGGAGAAGCUUCGUCGUCGAGAGGGAAACAGCCCAGAGCAUCGGCUAAGGCCCCUAAGUGUGCGCUUAGUGGGAAAGGAUGUGGGAUCGCCGAGACAACCAGGAGGUUGGCUUAGAAGCAGCCAUCCUUGAAAGAGUGCGUAAUAGCUCACUGGUCAAGUGGUCCUGCGCCGACAAUGUAGCGGGGCUGAAGCGCACCGCCGAAGCCAUGC